GGCUAACGCUGGCGGCGUGUCUUAGCCAUGCAAGUCGAGCGGACUUAUGGGGUAACUUAUAAGUCAGCGGCGGACGGCGGAGUAACACGUAGCUAACCUACCCUCUGGACGGGGAUAACCUACCGAAAGGUGGGCUAAUACCCGAUGUAGUCAUCCUGUAUAGGGGUGAUGAAAGGUGGGCUUCUGUUUACAAGCUCAUGCUGGAGGAGGGGGCUGCGGCCUAUCAGGUAGUUGGUAGGGUAAUAGCCUACCAAGCCGAUGACGGGUAGCCGGCCUGAGAGGGUGACCGGCCCGAGGGGCACUGAGAUACGGGUCCCACUCCUACGGGAGGCAGCAGGCUAGAAAUUUGGGGCAAUGGGGGAAACCCUGACCCAGUGACGCCGCGUGCAGGAAGGAGCCCUUCGGGGUGUAAACUGCUGUACGUGUAGGGAGGAAGGGUACUAAGGUGAACAAUCUUAGUACUUGACGGUACUACAGGAGGAAGCCCAGGCUAACCUCGUG
rnacentral:rRNA from 1 species